GUGUGGCCAGAUUCUAGUGAUUCAUCCUUCCAUAUCUGGUGUCCAUGUGUCUUUGGUUUGUGUGUGGAGUGGUUCGGUGUGGAGGUGAUUUCUCAUUCUCUCGGUGUCGAGUGGUGGGUGUUUCUUUUUGUCGUCGGUCUUGUUGGCCUUCGAAGAUCAAUUUCUGGAGGCACGUGCAUCAUUCCUAGGUUGUUGUGUGGUAGCUUAGGCUGAGUCGGUCUUCGUGUACGCCGGUGGUGCUCAGAUUUCAAGCUCGCUGCCCUAUGACUUGCCUUAGUCUUUCCGACAGGCGCUUCAUCUAUGACUUCUCGGUCUUCACUGCUCUGGUGUUGUUGUGCGCUGCUGUGUACGGGUGCACUUUUACGAUCCGGAUUUUUGGGUUGCUUCACGUAACUCCUUCGUUGAUUCAUCUCCGGCGAGGCCUUCUGAAGUUAGCACCGGUUCUUGAUGCUAAAGCGGGGCGAGGAACUCGUCUCUCCAAGGAGUUUUCGGUGUGUCAGUUCCUCG
rnacentral:lncRNA from 1 species